UCGCGUCUAACCAGAGACGUUUUAGUGACGUCAUAUUGCGAAAACUGUCGUCUGCUAGUCGAAAUAUUCUGUUGGCAUCGAGAUGUCUGCAAAUAAUGGACUGAACCAAUGUUGGACAUUAACAUAUUUCGCAAUUCCUUGACGCCAGUUUGUCACAGAAGAUUGUUCAGAUAGUUGAAAAUUAACAACCAACCACUAACCCAUGACAUUGACAAGCAGCCAAGAUAUGUCGAUAUGUGUUCAUAGAACAGCAGCUUCAUCUACUAGAACCUUAAUUGGAUAUAAGCACAAAAUUAACACGAAUACAAAUUAGGGCUGCUUUUGUUCUUAAGCCCCAGGCGAAAUGACUGUAAGCUGAUCUGCUGCAUAUGAAAACUGUUUUGACAGGUCAUAAUGAUCUAGACGGAUCAUUAGGCUUACCAGAUUCUUCCCAGCUGGAGUACUUGAAGAUAAACUGAAAAUAAACCCGCAUGACACAAUC